ensembl:misc_RNA 7SK 7SK RNA
GGAUGUAAGGGCAAUCUAGCUGCAACAACUGUCACCCCAUUGAUUGCCAGGGCUGGCUGACUGGCUAGGCAGGUCCCCCCGCCCCGCCACCCUCACCACUCCAGGUGCGUCCGUCCCUCCUGAAGCUUCACACUGGGUUGAAGAAGAGGCUGACCCCCAAUAAAGGAGCGGUUCCUUGGUCGAGGGUAUGCGGGUAGCUGUACUCGCCUGCUAGAACCUCCAAACAAGCUCUCAAAACAUUUUUUAAUUUUGGGAAAUGGGGAGCAAAUGAAAAGG